ensembl:lncRNA
GUUGAAGCAAGAGUCAGACUCUCGUUGGGCCCAGAUGGAGGGCUGAAACACUUCCUCUCCUUCUCACUCUUCCUCUCUAUUUCUCCCUCCCACCCAUCUAGGACUUACGAUCCACUCCCACACUCCUCUGACAGACGGAAGAUUCACACCAGGGACUGGCCAUUACAAGUUUUAACAUCUGAGUGGAGGGGAAUCGGGUGAAGCAACCGCAGGAAAACAGACAGCCCUCGUCUCGGACGACUAAAUACCUCCAUGCUGCCGUCCGAGAUGAAGCGGAACAGGAAGUGGUCACUCUAGAGAAGAAGAGGACUGCCUCAUGCACACUGACUCCCAGUGCCCAGCGGUGGCAGUGACAGAGGCAGAUGGCACAGGCCCGGGUCUAAG